ensembl:lncRNA LINC00662 long intergenic non-protein coding RNA 662
GACACCACCCCAGCCAGCAUGGCCGGCAGGAGCGCACCGCGCUGUCUCCCUCCAGGGAUCCGCACCGCCCUACAAUCCUGCUUUGUGCUGAGAUUGUAGUCCUGCAGGCGUACAACUAACAAGCUGGGUGCAGAUAAGAGACUACAGCUCCCCGCAUCCCAAGCAAAGGUCCCUCCUCUACGGAGCCCCUCCACGCGUCCACUGCGGUUCCGCCGUGCCAAGGGGAGCUUGGCUGUUCACGGGCCUCACCUGCUAGCGAGAAGAUAGCUUGGCCGGGCGGCUGAUCUCACCUUGUAAUUCUGACACUGUGUCUCCCGGGCUUGUCGGCUUCAUGACUUGUGCCCAAAGUUUGAUUUCUCGCAGACCAGGAGGACCCAUUGGACCCCCGGGCUGGCUGCAGGGCCCACACCUGGGUUAGACCUCGCACAGGGACGCUGCUGCCACUGUAAUAAAGCGUGCCUACACGCUUCUGAAACUGGUGUAGGAACAACCUCAGUUCUGUGAAAGGCGGACGCAGCAGGACAGAAUCUCCGUGGACAUCUGUCUGGAGGAGCAAUUUUACUGCGACAUUUUAAAGAAACAAAUUUAAUUGAUUUCCAAGGGUGUCCAUCGCGCUUCCUUCACUGCCUUGAUCAUGUCGGGGUCACCACCUGCGGGGGUUUGUCCUGCAGACCCUGACUCAACGACGGAUGAAUAAUGUACACUGACACAGAUCUUAUGCUUGUCAGUCCUGCUGAGCAUCCAGGCCACUUACAGACUCCAAGAAGAGUCCUGUCAGCCACGGCUCUGACUUGUUGGCCCUCCCGGCAUUUAUUUAGCACACAUUUAAUGACAGAAGUCUCAGGCUGGAAACACUCUUUUUGUAGAACAUACAAAUGGACAUUUCUAAGCACAUUGAGGCCUAUAAUGAAAAAUCAAAUAUCCCACAAUGAAAACUAGAAGGAAGCUAUCUGUGAUAAUGCUUUGUGGUGUAUGGAUUCAUCUCACUGACUGAAACCUGAGUUUUGAUUCACCAGGUUAAAAACGCUCUUUUUGUAGAACCUACAAAAAGACAUUUCUGAGCCCAUUGAGGCCUACAGUGAAAAACCAAGAAUCCCAUAAUACAAUCUAGAAAACAAGCUAUCUAGGAAACUGUUUUGGAUGUGUGGAUUCAUUUAACAGAAUGGAAAUAGUGUUUUGAUUCACCAUGUUUGAAACACUCUUUUUGUGGAAUGCACGAAGAACAUUCUUUGUGGAAGAACAUUGAUGCCUAUAGUGAUUAACCAAAUAUCACGUGAUGCAAACUAGAAACAAGCUAUCUGUGAAAAUGCCUUGCAGCGUAUGGAUUCAUGUCACAGAGUUACACCUAUGUUUUGAUUCAACAGGUUGGAAACAAUCUUUUUGUAGAAUCUACAAAGGAAUAUUUCUGAGCCAAUUGAGUUCUAGAGUGAAAAACAGAAUAUCCUGUGAUAAAAACUAUAAAUAAGCUCUCUGUGAAAUUGC